rnacentral:rRNA from 1 species
GACGAACGCUGGCGGCGUGCUUAACACAUGCAAGUCGAACGGAAAGGCCCUGCUUGCAGGGUCCUCGAGUGGCGAACGGGUGAGUAACACGUGGGUGAUCUGCCCUGCACUUCGGGAUAAGCCUGGGAAACUGGGUCUAAUACCGGAUAGGAGCCAUUUUUAGUGUGAUGGUUGGAAAGUUUUUUCGGUGUAGGAUGAGCUCGCGGCCUAUCAGCUUGUUGGUGGGGUAAUGGCCUACCAAGGCGGCGACGGGUAGCCGGCCUGAGAGGGUGGACGGCCACAUUGGGACUGAGAUACGGCCCAGACGCCGACGGGAGGCAGCAGUGGGGAAUAUUGCACAAUGGGCGCAAGCCUGAUGCAGCGACGCCGCGUGGGGGAUGACGGCCUUCGGGUUGUAAACUCCUUUCGCUAGGGACGAAGCUUUUUGUGACGGUACCUAGAUAAGAAGCACCGGCUAACUACGUG